rnacentral:lncRNA from 1 species
GUGGGACCCCAGAGAAGUUCUUAGCCCUCCACUCCCCUCAAAGUAGGAAUUUGUAGCUAAUAUCUUCUUGGGCUUUGGAGCUGAUUGGCUGGAGAUUAGGGAAGCUACUUCAUGAACAAGGGGCUUUUGUUCUCUUUCCCAGCUGCGUUGAGUAUCAGGAACUUAAGACUCUGGCGGUUGGCUGGUACCGUGUAGGACUGCUUACCUUGCAAAAGAGUUAGAUGCUGACACGUAAGGAUGCAAGUGAAAGGAGCCCACUGAGAAGUGAGCCCACAGGGCUUCACACAAGCGGAUGAGCCAGUAUGGCCCCCUAACCUUCCUUAUCCAGCCUCAUUCUGUGCCCCCAGGAAUGAGGACCACAGUCUUAGCAACUGGGCCAGGUCUUCUGACCAACUUCACCAACGUGAAAUCAUCGAAGCUCCACUGGUGGUUUCUCAGGUGAUGCGGACACUGUAGGUGAAGAUACAGGUUUGAUUCAGCUUCAAGAGGACGUGCUUGAUAAACUCAAGGAAAAUAAGAGAGGAUGAGCAGAGGUGGGACCUACCAAAGGGGAGUCAGUCACCGGUGUCUCAGGGUAUCCCUUGGGCAAAAUGCAGUGACUGCGUAAGAAGAGGAAAGGAGUGGGGCUUGAACACAAGGAAAGAAUCAAGGACUUUCCAAAAUUUCACUGCAAGUAGGCAUGAGCACACACUGCUUCUCAUGUUUACUACUUUGUCUCACAGCUUGUGAACACACAUUCUUGGGCCACGCCCCAGGGUUUCUAAUUCAACAGGCUGGGGUGUGGCCUAAGAACUUGCAUCUCUUACAAGAUCUCUGGUGGUGCUGCUGCUGCUGGUCCAGGAACUGCACUUUGGGAUUCUCUACCUUUAAAAAAUACAUCCAAUCACUGUGAGAAAUGGGCUACAGGCACUGCACUGUCACCUGUCACGCAUGCACUAAGGCUGGGGGAUCUCAGUGGCUGAGAGCCUGAGACUGAGCCAAAUAAGAAUUUGAGAAGAAUUGUUUGUACACUUUAAGAAUUUUAUUGUGGGCUGUGAUUUCUUUAGACUUCAAUGUCAGGACUUCAACUUGCAAGGGGAGUUGAUCUUGUGUUUAGUUUUUCCUGGGAAUGAGACGAUGGGGGUUGGGUGGUAAAUUUAUGGUCAAGUUUGGGGCAUUUGCACAUUGGCUUGUAACUGGAGUAAGUUGUGGUGUUGUUUAAUUUUGUCGAGGCUUGACUGGAACAUAUGGCUGGAAAUUAUUUGGGACUGAAAGAGAAGCGGUAGUAAACAUUUGCCUUAGGUAAAAUGUAGCUUUGGGAUGAAACUUUUUUAAACAGCUUUACUGACAUUUAAUUUUCACAUACCUCACCCACUUAAAGUAUACAAUUCAGUGGUUCCGAGUAUAUUCACAAAAUUGUGCAAAUGGACGUAUAAUCUGAUUUUAGAACAUUUUCAUGAUCCCUCCAAGGAAACUUCCUAUUAGCAGUCACUCUGCCUUCUAUUGCCCCCAGCCCUAGACAACCACUAAUCUACAGCCUGUCUCUAUACAUUUUUCUGUUCUGGGUAUUUCAUAUAAAUUGAAUCAUAUUGUAUGAAUGCUGACUUGUUUCAGCAUGGCUUGCUGGCUUCUUUCACUUAGCACAUUUUCAAGAUUGCUCCACAUUGUAGCACGGGUCAUGUCAUUCUCUUUUAUGCCCGUUCAUUUUCCAUUGUAUGAAUAGACUAACACUAUAUCUUGAUUAUCCAUUCGUCAGUUGAUGGACAUUUGAGGUUUUUUUUAAUAUAUUUUUUUCUGAUUUUAAUAAUGAUGCUAUGAACUUUCAUGUGUAAAUAUUUUGGUGAACUUAAUGUUUUUAUUUGUAGCUGACAUAUAAAUAUGAGUAGAGUUGCUAGGUUAUAUGGUAGGUCUAACCUUUUGAAAACUUGUGAAACUGUUUUCCAAAGCAGCUGCACCAUUUUACAUUCCCACCAGCUAUGUAUAAAGAUUCCAAUUUGUUAUUUGUGGUCUCUUUGACCACAACCAUGUAGUGGCUUUGAAGCUGCUUUUUACUGUGGUUUUGAUUUGCCUUUUCCUAAUAGCUAAUGGUGUUAUGCACGUUUUUAUGCGUUUAUUGGCUAUUUACAUAUCUUCUUUGGAAAAACGUUUAUUCAAAUCCUUUGGAACUUUUAAAUUGGUUUGUUUCUU